rnacentral:rRNA from 1 species
AUGGGCUAUGCAAUAGAGAUAAGUUGCAUCCAUAACAUCAUCUACUACAUCCCACGGCUGAAGAAUUUGAUCAUCAGCAUUGGUCAGCUCGAUGAGAGCAACUCAUGUGUGCUGAUCAGAAGAGGUGUGCUUCGAAUCUGGACCAGCAAGGUCGACUCCUUGUUUGGGUUGGGCGUGGGCGGAAUCACCUUUACCUCCUACAUCUUUAGAAAAAAUGAAGCUGGCAAGGUGAUCAAGCAAAAAGCACGGCUGGUCGCACGAGGUUACGUCCAACAAGCUGGCACUGAUUUCGGCUGCUGCUUGCUUUGGCUGCCCAGGAGGGGUGGCCCGUCCGCCAUAUUUAAUGGAGAAUUGAAGGAGGUGGUCUACAUGAAGCAGCCGCCUGGUUUCAUCAUCGCUGGAGAAGAAGGAAAAGUCUGUGGCUGCAGCGAGCAUGAGCACGUGAUCUACCGGUGCAUCACUGGGGACGAAAUCCUGCUCAUUGGAGUUAGAUGA